rnacentral:lncRNA from 1 species
GAUCGUUUUCUCGGCCGGCGGCUACACCGGCAACCUCUUCCACGAUUUCACCGACGUGCUCAUCCCGCUCUUCCUAACCUCGCGUCCGUUCGACGGCGAGGUUCAGUUCGUCGUAAGCGACAUGAAUCCCUGGUGGAUCUACAAGUACCUCCUCGUGUUUAAGCAGCUCUCCAAGUACCCGGUGAUCGAUUUCGACAAGGACAAGGGCGUGCAUUGUUUCAGCAGGGUGAUCGUGGGACUUCGAGCUCACAAGGAGCUAAGCAUCGAUCCCGCUAGAGCUCCCAAUGGCUAUUCCAUGGUUGACUUCGGCAAGUUCAUCAGGAACAC